rnacentral:rRNA from 1 species
GACGAACGCUGGCGGCGUGCUUAACACAUGCAAGUCGAGCGGAAAGGCCCUUCGGGGUACUCGAGCGGCGAACGGGUGAGUAACACGUGAGUAAUCUGCCCUUGGCUUUGGGAUAACUACCGGAAACGGUGGCUAAUACCGGAUACGACAACCGUCUGCAUGGGCUGGUUGUGGAAAGUUUUUUCGGCCAGGGAUGUGCUCGCGGCCUAUCAGCUUGUUGGUGGGGUAAUGGCCUACCAAGGCUUCGACGGGUAGCCGGCCUGAGGGGGUGACCGGCCACCCGGGGAAUGAGACCCGGCCCAGCCCCCUACGGGAGGCAGCGGGGGGGAAUAUUGGAAAAGGGGGGGAAGCCUGACCCAGCACCGCCGGGGGGGGGAGGACGGGCUUGGGGUUUUAACCCUCUUCCAGUACCGACAAAGCCCCGAUGAUGGGGGUGAGGGUAGGAACAAAAGAACCACCGGCCAACUACG